UACUAGUUAAAGGUCAAGACCACUGC
rnacentral:piRNA from 1 species